GCUACGGGCGGCAGCAGUGAGGAAUAUUGGUCAAUGGGCUUACGCCUGAACCAGCCAAGUCGCGUGAGGGAAGACUGCCCUAUGGGUUGUAAACCUCUUUUGUCAGGGAGCAACGCCGGCUACGUGUAGCCGGACUGAGAGUACCUGCAGAAAAAGCAUCGGCUAACUCCGUGCCAGCAGCCGCGGUAAUACGGAGGAUGCGAGCGUUAUCCGGAUUUAUUGGGUUUAAAGGGUGCGUAGGCGGAAUGCCAAGUCAGCGGUAAAAUCGCGGGGCUCAACCUCGCUCCGCCGUUGAAACUGGCGGUCGUGAGUGGGCGAGAAGUAUGCGGAAUGCGUGGUGUAGCGGUGAAAUGCAUAGAUAUCACGCAGAACUCCGAUUGCGAAGGCAGCAUACCGGCGCUCAACUGACGCUGAGGCACGAAAGCGUGGGGAUCGAACAGGAUUAGAUACCCUUGUAGUC
rnacentral:rRNA from 1 species